GUGGCCUACGGGGCGCAGCAGUGGGGAAUAUUGCGCAAUGGGCGAAAGCCUGACGCAGCGACGCCGCGUGAGGGAUGAAGGUCUUCGGAUCGUAAACCUCUGUCAGCAGGGAAGAACGGUCACUGUGCUAAUCAGCAGUGAAUUGACGGUACCUGCAAAGGAAGCACCGGCUAACUCCGUGCCAGCAGCCGCGGUAAUACGGAGGGUGCGAGCGGUAAUCGGAAUUACUGGGCGUAAAGCGCUCGUAGGCGGGAUGUCAAGUCAAUGGUGAAAGCCCCGCGCUCAACGUG
rnacentral:rRNA from 1 species